rnacentral:hammerhead_ribozyme from 1 species
AUCCAGCUGACGAGUCCUGAACAGGACGAGACGCGCGUCCUGGAU